CUUUAACCCUCCGGAACUGGAUCCUCUGAGUCCUGGUGAGACGAGUGUGGAAGACUACCUAUCCGAACCGAGAUCUUGGGUGUUCAGCCCUCCCCACUCAUCUCACAUGGGCGGCACGUGGGAGUGCAUGAUAGGGCAGAAUGUGGAGAGAAGGGUCUGGCUGCAGCCGGGCUGACAACGGAGCUGAUCACACUCCAGCCCAGUAGGUGGCGGUAAUGCACCAAAGAUGGUAAUCAAACCUCCAAUAAACAGCGCUGAAGUAGAAGAGCAGUAGCCUUGACAGCAUUGACCCUACCUAGAAACUGGAGGGUUCAGGCAGUGAAGCACCCAGAAGAAUGUCUGCUGAGGGCAAAAGGGCUAUCUGCCCAUUGACUUCAAUGUAAAAACCCAAGCUGAUUUAACAACCAAAGAAAACCUAAUCAGUUUUCAGUGAUAAAUGUAAUUAUGGUUAGUAGUUUAGGAAACGAC